GGAUGUAAGGGCAAUCUGGCUGUGAUAUCUGUAACCUCACUGAUCACCGGUGUUGAUUUGGCUGAUCUGGCUGCCUAGGCAAGUAUCCUCUUCCUCCCUCAUUGAAGAUACGAUCCCAGAUAGGAGUGUAACAAUCUUCGAUCAAGAAUAUACAAUAGGUCCACAAUUGUAGACAAUUUAAGAAAUCUGUACUGUGGAAAGUUAAUGGGCAGUUUUCCAGAGU
rnacentral:snRNA from 1 species